rnacentral:rRNA from 1 species
GACGUAGGGUGCGAGCGUUGUCCGGAUUUAUUGGGCGUAAAGAGCUCGUAGGCGGUUUGUCGCGUCUGCUGUGAAAACUCGGGGCUUAACCCCGGGCCUGCAGUGGGUACGGGCAGACUAGAGUGCGGUAGGGGAGACUGGAAUUCCUGGUGUAGCGGUGAAAUGCGCAGAUAUCAGGAGGAACACCGGUGGCGAAGGCGGGUCUCUGGGCCGUAACUGACGCUGAGGAGCGAAAGCGUGGGGAGCGAACAGG